ACUGUAUUUAUUCAUUUGUCUACACAUCUUAUAUGUAGAGGGUGAAGCUGAGGAUGUGUUCAGGUGCACAUCUAGUUGAACCCGUCAACGGCGCACAGGUGCAGAGUUCAGGUGCACAUCUCGCUCAUAUGGCACUACUUCAACCCAAACAACGCGAUGAUCCUUCUUCUGGCCUUGCACUUAUAGGGUGGAACUAUGCAAGAUCGUGUAGAACACGAUGAUAUUAAACAACUCAAAGAGUAUCUAGUUGAAGGGAGAGUCUAUGCAUUUCUUUUUUACAGUUUGCCCAAGUCAGAGAAGCUUCAUGACCUGUAGGAAUCGCUUCAUGAUUCGCAUUGGAGUACAGACGGUUGUGGAUGAGAUCGAUGAUUCGAUGGAGAUGUCGAUGCGACACCUCUCCACAGCUUUCAUUUUGUUGAUUUUGGUGAUGUUCCUUCGAGGGACCGCAACAAUAGCUUAUUGACAGGUGUUAUUGGGCAAGUACUAGAAGUUUGGCCCAUACAGCAGGUCCCGAAAGAAUCCCACAUGAUAGAAUUUUGCAGCUUACAGACUGAGGAUUUCUGUGGAAAUGAACUGGGUGUCACACUGUAUGGAGAGCUCGGUCAUGAUCUUUACAUGGCGAUUCGUGAGAAAUGCCGACAAGAUCCCGUUGUUGCCGUGUUUGCCACUACAAGUGAAAAGGAUAUACAGUUUGCUCUUCAUCAGCUCCAGUGUACUACCUUGAUUUGAAGAUACCAGAGGCACAACAAUUCCGCACGAGUCAAGGACUACUUAUUUGUGUGUGUGCAGUUGGCAUCAUCCAAAUAUCCCCAUGUGUGCACCACCAGUCAAAGAUUGUUGCUACCGUGGAUGCUUCCACUGCAAACAGUCGAUCAGCAGGGAUGGAAGCGAAUUCCGGUGCAGCCAGUGUGACCCGGUUAACAAGAAGUAAGAGUCCGGUUUUAUUUUCCGGUACAAGAUAAAUGCAGUGGUGGAGGAUGACACUGGGUCCAUGAACUUGCUGAUCUUUGCUGAGAAGAGGCGCAUUUUAUUUUCGACCCAUGUAAACCGAGGGGCGAAAAACGUGUCUGCUUUUAUUUUCUGCAAGCACAUUGAACUCCAGAUGAGCGUACCGAUCCAAUCAGAUUCCGUCGCCUGUUGAUUUUCAGGAGAAGAUGUUGUUCAUUAAGCGAGAAAUCGAGGUGAAGACUGUAGAUGAGGCAGAUGCAGAAUGACACCUUUCCCUGACUCUCAUGUACAGAAUGACUGUACAUGUUCUUUUGUUUUUCUCUUAGUUCUAAACCUAUCUAAAAAAUCCCUUUGUAAGAAACCUUAUGUAAAUAUUGUAUUCAAGUUACCUUUUACAUACUGCUGGGAACGCUCAUCCUUGGGCUAGUAUGUCAAUGCUCUGUGCCGGUAUUAUGUGCGGAUUAUUUCCAUAAACUUUGAGUUUCCGUC